ensembl:lncRNA
CCGUUCAACUUAGAAAAACCAUUCAAACACCGUUAGAUUCCUAUUCUUUUGGACAUGACUGCUUCUAUUUUUCUCAUUUUUAACAUUUAUAUUUUUAAUUUUAUUCAACUUUAUUCAACAAAAAUUUCCCAUGUAUUUCAAUGGGGAGACCCUUCAAAUUCUCAUUCAACUUACUCAUUUUUAAACUCUUACUACUUCCACAUACAUUGACAUAGAGCCACCAUUCAAACUUUAAAACGAAGACAAGACAUUCAACUAUUCAACUUGUAUUUAUCUUUUCAAUAUCUAUUAUACUUUUUCUUCAGUUCCAGUUUAAGUUUCAUGAUGUUUUUUCACCCGUUUCAGAGUUUAUAAUGGGUGUGUAUGGGACGGAAUGUUGGGGCUAGAGUGAGGCAGCUCAACUGCUAGAGUGAGAGGAGCAAAAAAAUUAAUCUUAAAAUCUUUUUUAAAACUGCUGCUGUGUCCGCAGCGUUUGCUCUACAGGUAUGAUUUUACCCUCAAAACGUAGCCAUCGCUGUCCUCUUUCAUCCAAUGUGUUUACUAUUGUCCUAGGUGUUAUGGUUCUUUCAUAAAUGUCACCAAUGCACAGCCUCCUCCCUCCAACUCUUCCAUAGACUCUAAUGUUAAAAUGGCUCAGAAGGUUCGUUUGAAAAUCAGAAGAGCAUGGUGUCUUUCCACUGUCACCACGUCCAUAUAAUAAGCUCCACAGGCAUGAAAACUGAGAAUUAGGUAGACUAGACAUUGCUGUCGCUCACGGUGAAAGAAUUUCGUCAAUACGACUUUUACUUUUCAUUUGGGAACGAUUUGUUUCAGCCUGACUUUUCUGUUCAUUUUAAGCAGCAAAAGUGAGGUGCAUGUCUGUGUACGUGUGUAUGGAGCCAUUGGGUGCGGUCACUAUAGCAACCAGGCUCACACCUGCCUGCUUAACGAGCUCUGCCUGCCACUGUACCAAGAUUCAUCUUAAGCACUUCUCUUUCAACUGCUGCUGUGUCCACAGUGUCACAGCCAUCAUUUUACCCUCAAAUUGUCGCCAUUAUUGUUCUCUUUCCAACACCGUAUCUUUCAAAGCUCAGGCAUUUAAACUUUUUAAACUGUGUGGAUCAAAGUGGAGGGAUCACAUUUGAGUCAUUCAGUGAUUCAAAGAAUAUGACCUUUUAAUAUUCAUUCAGAUGUUUUCUGACUCUAAAUGUUCUUUUCUCAUUUCUUAGGGUUUUCUAAUUUAAAUUUAAAACAUUUUCAGUUUUUUUCCAACUCCUUCUUCUGUGUAACCUUCAGCUUUUAGCAGUUCAGCACUUUUGUUUUCAGGUUAAAUUUGUUUUUUGUUUUUUUUUAUCUCAUUCAAGAUUUUUAACUUAAAUUCAGUAAUUAAUUCAUUUCAGUGCAUACAUUCAGAUUCAAGCAUUCACACUGCAGUUUCUUCAGAAAAUGCACUUUCUAGUUUUCCAUUGUUGUCUGUUUUUGUACAGAACAACAACAACAACAAGAACAAUUACCAGACAAACUAUCAGACCAAUCAACCAUUCACGAUGUCCUCUAUUCCCUCCAUCCUCUGUGUCUCCUCCCGACUGACCUGCAGAUGAGAAACAGGUGUCAGCUAUCAUGUAAUUGAUGAGUGAAGAACAGAACAGAAUCCAUUUCCUAGUUCAGGAGAUGAGGAUAAAGAAAUAAUUUGAUAACAUGUAUAAAGUGAGAAAAUGUUCAUACUAGUGGAUUUUUCCUGCUUUUUCAUUUAAAAACAGGAUCUGACCAAAACUGCAGUAAUCUUGUUUUCACCAUAAAAAAAAAAAAUAUGAAAAUAAAAAUAUACUAAUGAGCAGGUCUGACAGCUCCCUUAGGGUCAAAGGUCAUGUUGAGUUCAUCCAGAUGUUUAAUAUAAUUUGACCUGUUUGGCUGCAGAUCUGUGAGAGCUCAUUAAAACACGUCUGAGACUUUUGGAAGGUCAAAUCCUCGAGGCUGAAACAUCUGAACCUGUGAUACAGUCACACCAACCAAACUAUACUUUGUAAACA